GGAAAAGCAACUUAAGGAAGCAUUUAUUUUGGCUCCUGUUUUGAGGGUACAAUCUACCAAUUAGGAGAAAGGGUGAUGGCAAAACAUAGCUCACUUUGUGGCAGCAGAAGUAAGAAGCAAUUGGUCACAUCGCCUCCACAGUCAGGAGUGAACACUGAUGCCCAGCUAGCUUUCCCUUGUUUUCAGGGUUAUUCUGUCUGGGACUCCCACGCCCCAGGAGAUGAUGCCAUCCAUUUUUGGGGUGAUCUCUCCCUGUUCAACUUCUCUGGAAACACCCUCCCUGUAUCUCACACAUACACCUGUAUCUAUAUCCUCUAUCUAUGUCAUUCCAUAUCCUACCAAGUUGACAGUGAACAUUCGCCAGCCCUGUGGUAGAAACUUUAAGAAGCAGCUGACAAGGCGGUCAGGUCAGUGGAGGCGCACUCUUGAAGGAGACUCUGGAGCUCUGGUUUCUUUCUCUUUGUUUUCAUUUCCUGGCCAUGAGGUGAGUGCUUUUGCUCUGCUAGGCACUUCCAAAAUAGCCUCCAGCCUUACCAUGGGCCCAAAGCAAUGGAGAGUCCAGUUAUGGGCUAGAACCUUCAAACCAUCAACCAAAAUUUUUCUCUGACAAAAGUUGAUUAUCUAAAUCAGAGGUUCUCACCCUUCCCCGUUCUGCAGCCUUUUGAUACAGUUCCUCAGGUUGUAGGGCUCCUCCAACCAUAAAAUUAUCUUCACUGCUAAUUCAUAAUUUCCUAGUUAUACGUCAUAAUGUAAAUAUUUUUGUAGCUAUAGGUUUGUCAAUGGCGUCUCCACUCACAGGUUGAGAACCACUGAUCUGAAUUCUCUUGUUAUUGUGAUGAAAGCUAACACGUAAGAUCAAAAAUACAUACUAGAAAUCAUUUUGAAGAAAGCAUUCAUCUAAUGACCUUAAAAAGCUAAUACUGUGGCUAUGGAGAUGGCUCAACAAAGCGUUGGCUUUGCAAGCCCAGGGACUCCAGAUUGAUUCCCAUAGCCACAUAAAGAUGAUGUUAAAUGUGGCUGGCCCAUGCUUAUAAUUUCUGAGCUGGAAGGCAGAAACAGAAAGAUCUCCUAGACUUGUGCUCAGCCAGUCUAGCCUGAUUCCUGAGCUCCAGAUCAGUAAGAGGCCCUAUCUCAAAGGGAAUAAAUGGUGCUCCUGAGGAUAACACCUAAGGCCUUCAGCCUCUGCAUGCACGUGUGUACCUGAGCACAUAGAUGUAAAGAGAACCAAAUUAAGACCACAGGCUUGAAAUGUAGCCCAGAGGCACAGUCCUUAACCAGAUUCUGUGACAAGCUUUUACCAUAUGUCAUUCUAUUCCCUACCUUCUAUCUAUGGCAAACCUUAUGUGAUGUUCUUACCCAAACGGCUUUUAUUCACUUACUAUCAUUACUACUGCAUGUGUGCAUGAUGUGUGUGUUGACCUGCAUGCCACGGUGCACAUAUGGUGAUCAGAGGACAGCUCUGUGGAGUGUAUUCUCCCUUCCAUCUCUACAUGCGUUUCAGGGAUUGAACUGAGUUCGCCUCAUUUUCAUGGCAAGCACCCUUAUCCAGUGAGUCAUCUCACUAGCCCUGUUUGCAGUAAUUCUGAAAUUCUGUCUGGUCAGAGUUGAUGGAAGUUUCUUACUGAUUGCUUCGGGAAGGUCAAAGACUUUGGUGUGGGGCUGGUAAGAUGGCUCAGCGGGUAAGAGCACUGACUGCUCUCCCAAAGGUCCUGAAUUCAAAUCCCAGCACAAAAUAAAUCAAUCUUGCCGUAAAAUAAAUAAAGGCCAAUUGGUGGCUUUUGACCUGCUGCCUCCUCUGUGAAGCAGAAUGACUUCUGAGGAUACUGACAGUAUAAUUGUCCCCAAAGUCUGGUAGUGGGAUGGGUGGGGCUGGGUUGGAGGUUGGACCUGGCUGGGCGCCCAAGCAGGCAUUGGAUAGGGAGCACCGGACAGCGUGGCUCUCUGCAGACCAGCGGCGUCCCCAGAGUGCACGAAGGAUAAACGCGUGGCUUUUCCGUUUCACCGGUGUAGUUCUGUCCUCCAAGGUCCCUUCGGCAGAGCGGCUGCCACCCGGGUUAGACUUGGGGUGAGGUCAAGGCCACUCCAGGCCGCCAACCGUCUCGAAGCAGGUGGUACAACGCCUCCAACUGCGGCAGUUCCUUUGAAUUUUGACGCCACUCCCACUCCACGUAGGGCUAAGCUGCCUGCCAGACUCGGAAGAAACCGGUGGCGGCGAGCCAGCGGGAGCGCGCGCAGCAACGGACAGGAACGCGGCAGGCGGGCGGCGCGCACCUCCCCCGGAAAGGCCGGGAAGAAAAGACCCACAGCUUUUCCACGCGGUGCUUCAGGAACGGCCGCGCCCCCACGUGCUCUCGGGUGCAAUCCGUAACAGAAGGAAGGAAGGACAGCCUCGCUCUGACUGCACCCUAAACUAUAAAGGGACCUGCGCGGAAAGCUGAGGGUUCUCUUUGCGCUGUAGGUUACUCUUUUAGGCGACCUGGUGACCAAGCAAAAUGUGGGGUUACAGAGUAAAUUUAGAUGCUCCGGUUCUGCGGAGCAGCCCUCCGCACUUGAGCUUAGGGUACCGGUGUAAACUACCUGGGAGAAGUGCGCAGCAGCAAAAGAGAUUUCAGGAUUGGAGCCUAGGCCCUGGGGAGAUUGGGACUGGGCAGCUUGGCUGAAGGCUGCGUGCGUUCUGGUUCCUCAGUCCCAGUUUGGGUGGGUUCUUACACAGCGGGGUUUGCAGAAAAAUAUGCAAGGCCUUUUGUGCUGUUUGGAAGGUACUGGUGACACCUAAGUGACAUCGGAUUAUAUGCACAUGAACCCUUUCACAGGGACCAUGGCGUCAUCAUUCUUAACAUCAUCAAAGCAGUUGCAAAAAGAUACCAAGAUGAAGGGGUGCCCAAAGCAUCCGAGAGAACUCGUCACAGAAAAUAACUUGAUUAAAACCUGACUCUUUUAAAAGGUGUUCCUGAGCGAAGUCGUACAGUUCCUUCUGGAGCGUCGUCACAUUAAAGAACUGAACUGCUUCCUGUCCAGACACAGAGAGAACUGUCGG
rnacentral:lncRNA from 1 species